UGAAGCGGGAAGAGCUCAAGCUUGAAUCUUCGGAAUUGUAGUCUAUAGGUGGGAACUCGUACAGACCCGGGUAUAAAUCCGUUCUUGGAACUGGGUGCCAGAGAGGGUUAGAGCCCCGUCUUUGACUCGGUGUAUGUGCGUGGCGAGUUUUUGCUAGAGAGUCGGCUUGCUUGGGAAUGCAGGUCAAAAUGGGUGGUAAACUUCAUCUAAAGCUAAAUAUUGGCGAGAGACCGAUAGCGAACAAGUACUGUGAAGGAAAGAUGGAAAGAACUUUGAAAAGAGAGUGAAAAAGGGCCUGAAAUUGUUAAGAGGAUAAGUGGUUGGAGCAUAUCAUAUCAUACGGUCACAAAAGGUCCUCCGGGAUUGGUAUGGCCGUGUGGUUGGUCAGCAUCUAUUUCUGGGGGGGGAGAAUGCUUUUGCGAAGGCCUUCGGGCUGACGUGUUAGUGAAACCCUGCUGGAGAUAGAGGCACAAAGAGCGCGCAUAGCGGCCGGCCCCUUUUGCGGUGUGUAAUGUUGGGUCGAUCCUUCGGGCAUUUACUUUUCAUUGGGCUUCGACUUGAGGGAGCGCUGGACCUGCGUUCUGAAGAUGCUGGCACAAAUGGCUUCAACCAGCCCGUCUUGAAACACGGACCAAGGAGUCUAACACAUAUGCGAGUAGUAAGGUGGCAAACCUUGGAUGCGCAAUGAAAGUAACGUGGUGGGAUUCGUAAGAUGCACCAUCAACCGACCAGGAUCUUUUGUGAAAGGUUUGAGUAAGAGCAUAUAUGUUGGGACCCGAAAGAUGGUGAACUAUGCCUGAAUAGGGUGAAGCCAGAGGAAACUCUGGUGGAAGCUCGUAGCGGUACUGACGUGCAAAUCGUUCGUCAAAUUUGGGUAUAGGGGCGAAAGACUAAUCGAACCAUCUAGUAGCUG
rnacentral:rRNA from 1 species